rnacentral:snRNA from 1 species
GGUAGGACGUGUCGGCUG